GGCUCGCAAAACGGGGGGGAGGACCUGCACCACCACCUCUGACAAAUGCAGAGGAGAUGGCCCUGAGCCUGAAUGCUGGAAGGCCAAUGGCUGAGGGAAUUCCUGGAGGGACUUCAUCAGAGCCAGUCACUCCAGAAGAUUUAAGUGCCUUCAUAAAAUAUUCUGAUGGUAAAAUUAGUCUUUUGGAGCCUCCUGUCCCAACAGAACCACAGGCAGUUGAUGAUGGGGAUGAAGAAACAGUUUCUGCUGCCACAGAGAUGCCUACAGAGAGUGUGGAAGAACAGCAAGAGGAUGGUCCAUCAACUUCUGGUGCACAGAUGAACACAUUGCCAGUUAAGGAGUUAUAUAGACUUCUUCUUAUUAAAAAGAUAGAAAAAAACAGCAAAGAACUUGUAUACUUGGACCGCCAGAUCCAAAAGGCAG